AUGGCGGCCAUCUCCUCCACCUCCUACUUCUCCUCGCAGCCGCAGCUGCCGGCGUCCGACGGCGCCAACCCUGCCACCACCAGAAGCAGCAGCAGCAACGGCCGGCAGCCCCGGAGGCGGCGGACCGGCAGGUGCGUCAUGCUCGAGGCGGACGCUGCCUCUGGCAGUGGCAGUGUCGGCGCGGCGGUGGGGAGGAGGACGAGGAGCCUCACGGAGGAGGACCUGGAGGAGCUCAAGGGCUGCCUCGACCUCGGCUUCGGCUUCUCCUACCACGAGAUCCCGGGCCUCUGCGGGACGCUCCCCGGCCUGGAGCUCUGCUACUCCAUGACGCGGAGGUUCCUCGACGAGCAGAGGACUCUGGUCGGGCAGCUGGAGCCCGCCGCCGCCACACCCAUCCCAGACUGGAAGAUCUCCGGCCCUGGUGAUGAUCCUGACGAAGUGAAAGCUCGGCUCAAGUAUUGGGCACAGACAGUGGCAUGCACAGUCAAACUCUGCACCUAG
rnacentral:rRNA from 1 species